UACAGAGGUCUCAAGCGUUUGUUCGGAUUCAUUGGGCGUAAAGGGUGCGUAGGCGGCGCGGUAAGUCGGGUGUGAAAUCUCGGAGCUUAACUCCGAAACUGCAUUCGAUACUGCCGUGCUUGAGGACUGGAGAGGAGACUGGAAUUUACGGUGUAGCGGUGAAAUGCGUAGAUAUCAGGAGGAACACCGGUGGUGUAGACGGCUUACUGGACCACGACUGACACUGAGGCACGAAAGCGUGGGUAGCAAACAGG
rnacentral:rRNA from 1 species